UACAGGAGGGGCAAGCGUUGUUCGGAAUUACUGGGCGUAAAGGGCGCGUAGGUGGCCUUCUAAGUUGAACGUGAAAUCCCUGGGCUCAACCCAGGAACUGCGUCCAAGACUGGGAGGCUUGAAUCCGGGAGAGGGAUGCGGAAUUCCAGGUGUAGCGGUGAAAUGCGUAGAUAUCUGGAGGAACACCGGUGGCGAAGGCGGCAUCCUGGACCGGUAUUGACGCUGAGGCGCGAAAGCCAGGGGAGCAAAGCGGG
rnacentral:rRNA from 1 species